UACGUAGGGCGCAAGCGUUGUCCGGAAUUAUUGGGCGUAAAGAGCUCGUAGGCGGUGUGUCGCGUCGGAUGUGAAAGCCCGGGGCUUAACCCCGGGUCUGCAUUCGAUACGGGCAGACUGGAGUGUGGUAGGGGAGAUCGGAAUUCCUGGUGUAGCGGUGAAAUGCGCAGAUAUCAGGAGGAACACCGGUGGCGAAGGCGGGUCUCUGGGCAUUAACUGACGCUGAGGAGCGAAAGCAUGGGGAGCGAACAGG
rnacentral:rRNA from 1 species